GAAGGGACACUGCAGGGACACCCCCUUCCUGACCGUCACACUCACUGAGGUCACCCGGGAAGGGACACUGCAGGGACACCCCCUUCCUGACCGUCACACUCACUGAGGUCACCUGGGAAGGGACACUGCAGGGACACCCCCUUCCUGCCCGUCAAAUUCUGUCACGCCCUGGAUGCUGCAGGUGUGACAUCCUGUGCCACCUGUUUGGCCCCCCACUGCCCUCUG